GCGGCCGCAUCUCCCUGUCUGUGGGCCGAUGAGGGAGAUCUUUGAUCUCCCCACCGGCCCAUGGAGGCACACAGCGGGGCCGGCGCUCGGGUAGCGCUGGCCCUGCAGGGGCCGGCCGGGGAGAUUCUGUGAUCUCUCCUGCCGGCCUGGCCCCAUGGCCAUCGCGGCCCACCGGGCAUUUGCCCGGUAUGCCCGAUGGCCAGUCCGGGCUUG